rfam:Dipodomys ordii contig_30337, whole genome shotgun sequence.
GGUGGCUCAGUGGUAGAGCCUUUGCCUUGCAUGCAUGAGGCCCUGGGUUCGAUUCCUCAGCACCA